UACGGGGGGGGCAAGCGUUGUUCGGAAUUACUGGGCGUAAAGGGCGCGUAGGCGGCCUGCUAAGUCACACGUGAAAUCCCUCGGCUCAACCGGGGAACUGCGUGUGAUACUGGCGGGCUUGAAUUCGGGAGAGGGAUGUGGAAUUCCAGGUGUAGCGGUGAAAUGCGUAGAUAUCUGGAGGAACACCGGUGGCGAAGGCGGCAUCCUGGACCGAGAUUGACGCUGAGGCGGCGAA
rnacentral:rRNA from 1 species